CGACUUAUAUACUACCUGCAAUAGAAAGACAAUUUCAUGCAGAUAGCUUUAAAACUGAGAGACUAGUUUGCGUAGAAACGGACGGACAGACGGACGGACAAACGAACAUGGCUAGAUCAACUCUCCUAGUGACACUGAUCAAGAAUAUAUAUACUUUAUAGGGUCGGAAACGAAAUGAAAUGAAAUUAUAAUACCCUCUGCAAGGGGUAAGCCAGCAAUGUUAUCAUUUGAUAUAAUUGUCCGGUCCGGCUUUAUCCGACUACUACCUGCAAUAGAACAGGAUCUUUCGGAUAAGUUUUAUUCAGUUAGAUUUAAAACUAAGAGACGAGAUUGCUUAGAAAAGGAGGGACGACCGGCCAGUUGAACUGACAGACGAACAUGGCUAGAUCGACUCUCCUAGUUAUGCUGAUCAGAAAUACUUUAUGGGGUAAAAAUUUUUCCUUCCCCACGUUGCAAACUCCUGACUGAAAUUGUAAUACCCUCUGUAGGGAUAUUUAAACCAUAUCUAACGAUGGCCAACAUUUCAAAGAAUGUUUCUGUUACAGAUAGAAACAAUAAAAAUCAUCAUAGCUUUUGUUUUUAAACAUACACAUAAACCGAUAUUAAGAUGUUUUAAAGAAUAUUUAAGUUUUGUCGAACUUUGUUUUUUUUCUUGUUUGAUUAACUUUUGAACGGAGCAUCGGAUCCAAGCAAAUUGGGUGUCAUGCGACGCGGAUUUUUAAAAAAAUUUAAAAUGUGCCAAAAAGCGACACCUUUCGGUUGGUGUAUUAGUCGUUACGAUCGGACCACCACAGCAGAUUUUCAAUUCUGCGGCUAUAUAUAGUAGUCUCCUAUACAACCGCUCUUGGUGCGCAUCGUCACUACCGCCGUCUGCAGUGAUUUAAUCCGACUCGUACCUACCAAGAAUACUUUUUUUUUAUUUUAUAGUGGAACGAUGGGAAAACGGCGAAAGAACCGUCUACAACCAAUGGACGUAUUCAGCAGAACAACAUGAUCACUGAUCACUGAUGUAUUUCUUAGUAGUUCUGGUGAACGCGUAUGAUCACUGAUCAAUAUGCAAAAAUUAUUCCAUCAUGAUCAGCAAAAUAGGAGCGAAAAAAUACAUGAUACAUAUCUGCUAGCUUACCUAUAUCGAUGGUUUAAAUAUCGACAAGAAAAAACAGAAAAAUGAGAAUAUAAGCAAAACAAACAAAAAAAAAAAACAAACAUUUAUUAAAUAAUGCGUAAUGUAUCAUAAGCGUUCAGCAGAACAGCUGAUCACUGAUGUAAUACGCACAUUGUCUUUUUUCUUAGAGUGCUUAAAAACGCAGUGUAGUUCAAACUAAAGGAAAUGAAAAAAUGAGAAUUCAUUAAUAUAUUCACAAAUCUAUAUAAUUUUUUGA